rnacentral:rRNA from 1 species
GUUGUGUUGUUGGAUGAUGAUGGUGGUGUUAUAAUUAUUAUUAAAAUUUAUAAGCAUAAUUUGUUUUUGGUUAUUUAUGCUGGUUGGCGAUGCAUUUACAAGUUAAAAAUGCGCUGGAAUAUGUGGAAUCGUUUUGUUAAGUAAAUGCAAGUACGAGGCUGUCUUUGAUUUCUUCGAUGUCAAAGUUGGUGAAUGGAAGGCAAAACCGGAUUUGUUGGUAGAAACCGGGUUUUGGAUAAUCUGUUUUUUGUUUACGCGAAAAUUGGUUGUACAUAAAAAUGUUAAAAUUUACAAAGACUUGGUGUCGUUUCUGUUAAAAAGAAAAAAAAAAUGCAAAUAUUGGAGUUGUUGAAAAGCGAUAGAGUGUGUGAUUAUCGCAAGUCGGUUCAAAUAUUUUAUUUAUUGUUAUUCAUAACGGCUGUUCCUAUCAUUAUUAAUUUUUGUGCGUUUAUAGCGCUAGUCAGUAUUUACGUAGUCUUUGGAAUUUUGGUGAUUCCAGUGUAAGAGUCGAUCAUCUAUUCGACCCGUCUUGAAACACGGACCAAGGAGUUUAACGUACACGCGAGUCAUUAAGUGUUUGAAAACUUAAAGGCGUAACGAAAGUGAAUUUUAAAAAAUUGUUUAUUUUGGUGAAUUAUUUGUUGAUGAAUAUGCGAUCUUAUUUUGGUAAAAAAAAAAUUGGUUGAGCGCAGCAUAGCCCUGUUUAUAUUGUUGCCUGCAACAGAGCGGCGGAAGAGCGUGUGCGUUGAGACCCGAAAGAUGGUGAACUAUGCUUGAGCAGGAUGAAGCCAGAGGAAACUCUGGUGGAAGUCCGAAACCGGUUUCUGAGCGUGCAAAUCGAUCGUC